UGGGGAAUUUUGGACAAUGGGCGAAAGCCUGAUCCAGCAAUGCCGCGUGUGUGAAGAAGGCCUUCGGGUUGUAAAGCACUUUUGUCCGGAAAGAAAUCCUUGGCUCUAAUACAGUCGGGGGAUGACGGUACCGGAAGAAUAAGCACCGGCUAACUACGUGCCAGCAGCCGCGGUAAUACGUAGGGUGCAAGCGUUAAUCGGAAUUACUGGGCGUAAAGCGUGCGCAGGCGGUUUGCUAAGACCGAUGUGAAAUCCCCGGGCUCAACCUGGGAACUGCAUUGGUGACUGGCAGGCUAGAGUAUGGCAGAGGGGGGUAGAAUUCCACGUGUAGCAGUGAAAUGCGUAGAGAUGUGGAGGAAUACCGAUGGCGAAGGCAGCCCCCCUGGGCCAAUACUGACGCUCAUGCACGAAAGGCGUGGGGAGCAAACAGGAUUAGAUACCCUGGUAGUCCACGCCCUAAACGAUGUCAACUAGUUGUUGGGGACUUCAUUUCCUUAGUAACGUAGCUAACGCGUGAAGUUGACCGCCUGGGGAGUACGGUCGCAAGAUUAAAACUUAAAUGAAUUGACGGGGUC
rnacentral:rRNA from 1 species